CUUGAUCGACCCCAACCACAACGGAUGAUCCGCGGGCCGAUCCUGUCCAUACGUGGCGAGCAAGGCCUGCGCCUC
rnacentral:antisense_RNA from 1 species